CCGCAAGGGGAGUGGCAGACGGGUGAGUAACGCGUGGGAAUCUACCUAGUUCUACGGAACAACAGUUGGAAACGACUGCUAAUACCGCAUACGCCCUACGGGGGAAAGAUUUAUCGGAAUUAGAUGAGCCCGCGUAAGAUUAGCUAGUUGGUGGAGUAAUGGCCUACCAAGGCGACGAUCUUUAGCUGAUCUGAGAGGAUGAUCAGCCACACUGGGACUGAGACACGGCCCAGACUCC
rnacentral:rRNA from 1 species